CCUUGUUUUGAGGAAAACUGAGGCUCAGAGAGAUCAAGAUUCGCUAGCAGCCUGCAUGAGAUGCUCCAGGAGGUCUGGUGAUGCAUGCCUUCUGCCCUGCCACUAGUCCAACUACCAGAGAGUUUAUCUUCAUUCAGUCUCUGAGUAUCUGCUUCAGAAAAUUCCCUUGUUCCUGUUGGCCUUGGAUCCGGAAAGAAAACGGGCUGUGAUCCUGAAGGCCAGCAUUGGGAGCAGGCUGGCUGAAUACCAUGGGACACAGUAUCUGUGAAGUUCUGCCCUUUCUGAGUGUAAAUAUGUAAGGAGAGUUGUGCCCUGAAGUGGCGGCUUCCACGGGGGAUCUGGAAGCCAAGGGUCAAGGCCCAGGACAAAGAAGCCACUGCCAUGACUGCUCUGCGCUGGUGCUAUGAGGCUGAA